rnacentral:rRNA from 1 species
AGCGCAGGCGGACCGGUAAGUUGGAAGUGAAAACUAUGGGCUCAACCCAUAAAUUGCUUUCAAAACUGCUGGCCUUGAGUAGUGCAGAGGUAGGUGGAAUUCCCGGUGUAGCGGUGGAAUGCGUAGAUAUCGGGAGGAACACCAGUGGCGAAGGCGACCUACUGGGCACCAACUGACGCUGAGGCUCGAAAGCAUGGGUAAGCAAACA